rnacentral:rRNA from 1 species
GAUGAACGCUGGCGGCGUGCUUAACACAUGCAAGUCGAACGGAAAGGCCCAAGCUUGCUUGGGAACUCGAGUGGCGAACGGGUGAGUAACACGUGGGUGAUCUGCCCUGCACUUCGGGAUAAGCCUGGGAAACUGGGUCUAAUACCGGAUAGGACCACAUUUUGGAUGGUGUGGUGGAAAGUUUUUCGGUGUGGGAUGAGCUCGCGGCCUAUCAGCUUGUUGGUGGGGUAAUGGCCUACCAAGGCGUCGACGGGUAGCCGGCCUGAGAGGGUGUACGGCCACAUUGGGACUGAGAUACGGCCCAGACUCCUACGGGAGGCAGCAGUGGGGAAUAUUGCACAAUGGGCGCAAGCCUGAUGCAGCGACGCCGCGUGGGGGAUGACGGCCUUCGGGUUGUAAACUCCUUUCGCUAGGGACGAAGCGUUAUGUGACGGUACCUGGAGAAGAAGCACCGGCUAACUACGUG